rnacentral:ncRNA from 1 species
UAAAUGACUUCGAACAAGAAGAGUAACUUUAGUUUUGUUUCAAGAGAGUUUCUGUCUGGUGAGAAGAAACAAUGAAAUUAUGGUGAACCACAUCUUGGAGUCGUCUUUUUGAAUAAAGUAGAAAAGUCCGGGCAGCCCGUUAUAGCCAAAGUUAUUGAUUGAUGACUUACUGAGUUUUAUUCUGUAAAGAAUGAAUAAAUAAAGGUGGAACCGCGUAAUUGACGUCCUUUAG